rnacentral:rRNA from 1 species
ACAGCAGUAGCCGCGGUAACACGGAGGGAGCUAGCGUUGUUCGGAAUUACUGGGCGUAAAGCGCGCGUAGGCGGUUACUCAAGUCAGAGGUGAAAGCCCGGGGCUCAACCCCGGAACUGCCUUUGAAACUAGGUGACUAGAAUCUUGGAGAGGUCAGUGGAAUUCCGAGUGUAGAGGUGAAAUUCGUAGAUAUUCGGAAGAACACCAGUGGCGAAGGCGACUGACUGGACAAGUAUUGACGCUGAGGUGCGAAAGCGUGGGGAGCAAACAGGAUUAGAUACCCGCGUAGUCCCUGUCUCUUAUAC